ACGACAGACAAUCUUGCCUUCGGCCUGGAGCACCGUAAUCGGUUAAGCUGACCCUCGAUGUUUGCUUUUGCUCGUAUUCGAAUCCAGUCUCAUAUUACAUUUACUUUCUUUUCCCUCGUAUUAGUAUAUUAGGUACUUCUUCUUAGUAAUCAUAAGAUUUUAUUUCAAAACACUCGGUUUAAGUCUGAAUUAAUUGGAUGGAGGCUCCUGGACUUAAACAUCGUUUAAAGAAUAUGUAAUUUUUAAUUAAGAGGAAUUUAUUUUACUAAAUUUUUUUAAGAAUAUCAAUUUUAAAUAUCAAAAAGUUGCUUGAACGCUUCGUCUGGUUUAAGUCUGGAUUAACCGGAAACUUUUGAUUGGGGACUAGGGAAUUUAUUCCUGAGUCUAAAGCAACUUGUUUAAUUAAGAAAUUUGCAUAAGAGACAAAAUACAAAUAUCUACAUCGUAAAAAUAUUAAAAUGUUUCAUCAUACCCAUUUAAGUUAUGCAUGCAAACUAAGAAUAAUCCGAAUUAAUUAACUGAAAAUAGCGCGAAAUUAGUGAACAAAGAAAGCUUACCUGCGAAUGUAUAUACUUCGUGUAUCUCUUGCUAUUGAUAACCGAAAUGAGCAAAAUAUUGGCAAAAAUGAUCCCAAAAGUUAAUGCUAGAAUAACCAGAGACUGUAGGGCGUCACCGACCGAAACUGUCGACAGCAAAGUGACAUUCUGGUAUCGGGGGUGGGUGCAACUGCUGUUUGACAAUGAUGGAGGUACCAAGGUGGUGGACUUGGUUACCAUCUUAUGGGUUAUGGUACCAUGCUUGAAAUGAGAGAGUCUCUAGAAAAAAAAAUAGUUAAUUAUAUUUUUUUUGCUUUUGAGUGGCUAAUGAAGUCUAAUAAGCUAUAGCCAGAUUUUUUAUUAAACAAAAUACGGUUUAUACCAUUUAAUUAUUUACUAAAAAAAAAAUGUUCAUACAUUUUUAACGUGAUUUUAAAAAGGAGAAAGGUACAGUAUAAAGGAGAAUCAAUUAUUCUUUAAAAGCUUCUAAAAAAGCUAAUAAAAGUACCUAUUUCCUUUAAAAAGUAAAAUGCAUUUUCUGUAAGCUUGGCCUGAAAGGAACUUUUUAUUCCCGAUAUUUUUCAAGAUCCGUCAUUUUAAAUAUCGGCAAGGUUUUUCAAUUUGGAGAAUCUAUUUGCGUCACUUUAUAGUUACGUCCCACCCGGAACGAUAAAAAACCCUUUUAAGAGAUAGAUAAAGUGCUUAUCACCAAUAAAUGAGGGAGAAACUAAUAAUUUAGACAACUCUUAAUAAAUUUUGUGGUUGCAUAGAUCCUGGAUACUAUUUAUAAAUACCUUAAGAUAUUGUAUUUCUUGCGGUCUACUUCCAAAACGUAUUGAUUCAGCUAUAUCCACUUUCUUUCUAGGUUAUAUGAGUGGGCCUCAUAAAAACCAUAACCUUAUAGUUUGUUAAGAUAUAUUGAAGGGCAAGAUUAUUUAAGCAUCAUGUACGAUUAGCCUCUGCAAGGGUGCCAUAUUACUUUAUUUAUUGAUCAAUCGAUUGUGCUCAAUCACAAAAUUUUCAAGAAUAUUUAAUGAUAGAGAGAACAUACCAUAUAAAGAACAACUAAUCAAGGUUAAAUUUCUAGUAGCCCAUAUUCAUUUGAUUUUACUUUUUUCUGCAGAAAAGUACUCUAUUGCUGAAACUGAAAUAUAGCUUUUUAACUUUCAACUACCUGGAAGAAAUAAGAACUUUUUUAUUGUAGUUGAGCCAAUAUUACUUAGAAGUAAGUUUUUAAUGCUUUAUUUAAUAUAAUAUAAAAGUGUUCGUGACCGUGAAUUUCACUAUUAUUUGAAAACUUAAGUUAUGAGCUGACCUAAACUUACUAGGCUUACCUGAAAGCACUUUGGUAAAUUAUUUUAGAAAUUUAAAGUUUUACCAAAAACAAUUUAGUUUUCCAAAAAGCUACUUUCUAAUAAACAAAAAAAGCAGCAACUGCCUAGAAGAAGUAGGAAAUUAUCCGCUUAAUUAGAGUCUUCAUAAGCUCAGCUAACUAAAAGAAAUUCAAUGUUUACUUAUAGUUUUGUAGGAAUGUUCCACAUGUUGGGCGCUAAAAUGUGUUUAAAUUCACUGAAGUAAAAUGUUGAUCACAAAUGACUGAUUAGUGAUGAAUGUUAUAUAAAUUAAUGUUAAAGCUGGAGAAACAUCAAGUGCCAAAUACACUUUCCAGAGAUAUAAAAAACUGUAGAACCUCACAGACUUUCCAGGAGUCUUAUGAAGUCAAUGUAUCCACGUCUUUUCCGAAUUAAAUGAGCAGUAAGAACAAUUUUUUUCAACUCCAGGUUUAUCGAGUACCAAAUAUAGAAUCAAUUCCAAGAAAUCUCUGAAGAUUGGAAGCACCUAUUUACUCCCAAGUUUUCAUCUUUAGAACAACUUUAUCCAGGAUUCCUAUGGAGACAAUUUUGGAUAAAACAAAUAAACUCACUUUUAGAAAUGUCAUAUUUAAAUAAAAUUUUUUAGAUAUA
rnacentral:lncRNA from 1 species